CGUGGACUUCGAUUAGACACUAAUAUAAUUAGAUCUGCUCUUCAUAGACAAACUUGGGAUUUACGAUCCUAGGUAAGAUCGGUUCAGGAUCAUGG